rnacentral:rRNA from 1 species
CUUGCUAGGUGCUGACGAGUGGCGGACGGGUGAGUAAUGCGCAGGAAUCUACCUUAUAGUGGGGGAUAACUUGGGGAAACUCAAGCUAAUACCGCAUGACACCCUACGGGGGAAAGCAGGGGACCGCAAGGCCUUGUGCUAUAAGAUGAGCCUGCGUCAGAUUAGCUUGUUGGUGGGGUAAUGGCCUACCAAGGCGAUGAUCUGUAGCUGGCCUGAGAGGACGACCAGCCACACUGGGACUGAGACACGGCCCAGACUCC